rnacentral:lncRNA from 1 species
GGAUGUCGUCUUUGAUGAGCAUGUUCUUUCAGAUAACAGUGGUAGGUUUGCAGCACUCUGGCUAGUCACCCAUACUUCACCAGAUCCAAAGAAAAGCUCGCCAUGGCUAGCAGGGAGAUUGAAAAUUCGCUCAUUGACCCGGAUCAGGAUCACAGGGAAGAAAGUUCUGAACAUAAUGAUGAGGUAGUAAGGCUCAGGC